rnacentral:rRNA from 1 species
AUACGGAGGGCGCAAGCGUUGUUCGGAAUCAUUGGGCGUAAAGCGCGCGUAGGCGGCUUGGCAAGUCGGGUGUGAAAUCCCGAGGCUCAACCUCGGAACUGCACUCGAAACUGCCUGGCUAGAGUCUCGGAGAGGAAGGCGGAAUUCCCGGUGUAGAGGUGAAAUUCGUAGAUAUCGGGAGGAACACCAGUGGCGAAGGCGGCCUUCUGGACGAUGACUGACGCUGAGGUGCGAAAGCGUGGGGAGCAAACAGGAUUAGAAACCCCGGUAGUCC